ensembl:snRNA U2 U2 spliceosomal RNA
AUUUCAUUUCAAACAUUUACUUUAAUAAAAUUUUUAAAUCUGAUAUGUCCUUGAUGUGAGGACUGCAUAUUAGCUUGAUUUUUGAAACGGGUGGGUUAGAACAGAAGCUUGCUUUGUCUGCCCCAUGCAUCGACCUGGUAUUGCAGUGCCUCCAGGAACGGUGUAUCUCCU